ACAGCAGCCGCCGCGGUAAUACGUAGGUGGCAAGCGUUGCCCGGAAUUAUUGGGCGUAAAGGGCUCGCAGGCGGUUUCUUAAGUCUGAUGUGAAAGCCCCCGGCUCAACCGGGGAGGGUCAUUGGAAACUGGGAAACUUGAGUGCAGAAGAGGAGAGUGGAAUUCCACGUGUAGCGGUGAAAUGCGUAGAGAUGUGGAGGAACACCAGUGGCGAAGGCGACUCUCUGGUCUGUAACUGACGCUCAUGCACGAAAGCGUGGGGAGCAAACAGGAUUAGAUACCCCGUAGUCCCUGUCUCUUAUACA
rnacentral:rRNA from 1 species